rnacentral:tRNA from 1 species
GCCUCCUUAGCAUAGUGGUAGUGCGUCAGUCUUGUAAACUGAAGGUCACCAGUUCAAUUCUGGUAGGGGGCU